GAGUUUGAUCAUGGCUCAGAUUGAACGCUGGCGGCAUGCCUUACGCAUGCAAGUCGAACGGCAGCACGGGAGCUUGCUCCUGGUGGCGAGUGGCGAACGGGUGAGUAAUGCAUCGGAACGUAUCCUGGAGUGGGGGAUAACGUAGCGAAAGUUACGCUAAUACCGCAUAUUCUGUGAGCAGGAAAGCGGGGGACCUUCGGGCCUCGCGCUCUUGGAGCGGUUCCGAUGUCGGAUUAGCUAGUUGGUGAGGUAAAGGCUCACCAAGGCGACGAUCCGUAGCAGGUCUGAGAGGAUGAUCUGCCACACUGGAACUGAGGCACGGUCCAGACUCCUACGGGAGGCAGCAGUGGGGAAUUUUGGACAAUGGGGGCAACCCUGAUCCAGCCAUGCCGCGUGAGUGAAGAAGGCCUCGGUU
rnacentral:rRNA from 1 species